AAGACUUUAAGUUAAACCAAAAUAAUAUCCUUCAAAGUUAUAAAUAAAGAAAUACUUCUUUAAGUCUUA
rnacentral:tRNA from 1 species